ensembl:lncRNA
AUCGAAAACGGUGAAAAGCUGGAAACGAUCUAAAUGCCCCGCUCCAAAUGAAACGGGUCAAAUGAAUUAUGAGACAACCAGUGUGACCCUGCAACCUUUAAAAAUCUAUCUUCAUCUCUUUUUUUAACAAGGUUGACAAUUUAUUGUUAAGUGUAAGAGGCAGGUUACAACAUCUAUUGGGAGAAGUUUAGUGUGUAGAGCCAGAAGGAAAAUUCUAGGUCACUGAGUCAGCUAAGGUGCUUCCAGAUGAAGAAAACAUAAUUCAGCUGAUGGAAAUGCUAAAGAGGAUUGAAAGGCUUUUGACACCAUGCAAUCCAGGCUGCAGAUCCGUUUCUCUGCGGUGGUCUGGAUCCUGUCCCCACUCUGUGGGCAGCCUUGGGUCUCAGGCUGACUUCCCUCAUCGUCACAACUUGGCUGCCAGCAGCUGGCACGGCUACAGGCACCCUUGUUCACAGCCAGGGAAGUGAGAGCUCUGCCCCGCCCAGUUGAGACUUGGGUGCCUGCUCUCCUAGAGGCUCGCCUUUCCGUGAAUUUCUCACCCAACUUUACGCCAAGAAAACUCCCUCCUACAUGGUUCUGCUGCUGCUGCUGCUAAGUCGCUUCAGUCGUCUCCGACUCUGUGGGACCCCAUAGACAGCAGCCCACCAGGCUCCCCCGUCCCUGGGAUUCUCCAGGCAAGAACACCGGAGUGGGUUGCCAUUUCCUUCUCCAAUGCGUGAAAGUGAAAGUGAAGUCGCUCAGUCGUGUCCAACUCUUCGAGACCCCAUGGACUGCAGCCUACCAGGCUCCUCUGUCCAUGGGAUUUUCCAGCCAAAAACAGGUAUCUGCAAAAUGCCUCGUCUGCCUCCUGCCUGCUGUGUCCUCUCUGGCCAACGGCAGUGCUCCAGCUCACACCGGGUUCAGUUCAGUCGCUCAGUGAUGUCCGAUUCUUUGACACCCCAUAGGCUGCAGCAUGCCAGGCCUCCCUGUCCAUCACCAAUUCCCGGAGUUUACCCAAACUCAUAUCCAUUGAGUCGGUGAUGCCAUCCAACCAUCUCAUCCUCUGUCGCCCCCUUCUCCUCCCACCUUCAAUCUUUCCCAGCAUCAGGGUCUUUUCCAAUGAGUCUGUUCUUCACAUCAGGUGGCCAAAAUAUUGGAGUUGCAGCUUCAGCAU